rnacentral:rRNA from 2 species
UGUGAAUUGCAGAAUUCCGCGAAUCAUCGAGUCUUUGAACGCAAGUUGCGCCCGAGGCUUGUCCGAGGGCAUUUCCGCUAGAGCGUCACC